UGGGGAAUAUUGCACAAUGGAGGGAACUCUGAUGCAGCGACGCCGCGUGAGUGAAGAAGUAUUUCGGUAUGUAAAGCUCUAUCAGCAGGGAAGAAGACGACGGUACCUGACUAAGAAGCCCCGGCUAACUACGUGCCAGCAGCCGCGGUAAUACGUAGGGGGCAAGCGUUAUCCGGAUUUACUGGGUGUAAAGGGAGCGUAGACGGCGAUGCAAGUCUGAAGUGAAAGGCGGGGGCUCAACUCCCGGAUUGCUUUGGAAACUGUAUGGCUAGAGUACCGGAGGGGUAAGCGGAAUUCCUGGUGUAGCGGUGAAAUGCGUAGAUAUCAGGAGGAACACCGGUGGCGAAGGCGGCUUACUGGACGGCAACUGACGUUGAGGCUCGAAAGCGUGGGGAGCAAACAGGAUUAGAUACCCUGGUAGU
rnacentral:rRNA from 1 species